rnacentral:rRNA from 1 species
AGCGAACGCUGGCGGCAGGCCUAACACAUGCAAGUCGAACGAACUCUUCGGAGUUAGUGGCGGACGGGUGAGUAACACGUGGGAACGUGCCUUUAGGUUCGGAAUAACUCAGGGAAACUUGUGCUAAUACCGAAUGUGCCCUUCGGGGGAAAGAUUUAUCGCCUUUAGAGCGGCCCGCGUCUGAUUAGCUAGUUGGUGAGGUAAAGGCUCACCAAGGCGACGAUCAGUAGCUGGUCUGAGAGGAUGAUCAGCCACAUUGGGACUGAGACACGGCCCAAACUCCUACGGGAGGCAGCAGUGGGGAAUCUUGCGCAAUGGGCGAAAGCCUGACGCAGCCAUGCCGCGUGAAUGAUGAAGGUCUUAGGAUUGUAAAAUUCUUUCACCGGGGACGAUAAUGACGGUACCCGGAGAAGAAGCCCCGGCUAACUUCGUGCCAGCCGCCGCGGUAA